GCGGGUGUAGCUCAGUUGUUAGAGCGUUUGCUUCCCAAGCAAAAGGCCCAGGGUUAGAGUCCCUGUACCCGCACCA
rnacentral:tRNA from 1 species